UGCCCGCGACGUUGUGAGAAGUCCACUGAACCUUAUCAUUUAGAGGAAGGAGAAGUCGUAACAAGGUUUCCGUAGGUGAACCUGCGGAAGGAUCAUUG
rnacentral:rRNA from 9 species